rnacentral:rRNA from 1 species
CUGAGAGGAUGACCAGCCACACUGGAACUGAGACACGGUCCAGACUCCUACGGGAGGCAGCAGUGGGGAAUAUUGCACAAUGGGCGCAAGCCUGAUGCAGCCAUGCCGCGUGUAUGAAGAAGGCCUUCGGGUUGUAAAGUACUUUCAGCGGGGAGGAAGGGAGUAAAGUUAAUACCUUUGCUCAUUGACGUUACCCGCAGAAGAAGCACCGGCUAACUCCGUGCCAGCAGCCGCGGUAAUACGGAGGGUGCAAGCGUUAAUCGGAAUUACUGGGCGUAAAGCGCACGCAGGCGGUUUGUUAAGUCAGAUGUGAAAUCCCCGGGCUCAACCUGGGAACUGCAUCUGAUACUGGCAAGCUUGAGUCUCGUAGAGGGGGGUAGAAUUCCAGGUGUAGCGGUGAAAUGCGUAGAGAUCUGGAGGAAUACCGGUGGCGAAGGCGGCC